rnacentral:rRNA from 1 species
UAGGGAAUAUUGCAAAAUGGGCGAAAGCCCGAUGCAGCAACGCCGCGUGGGCGAUGAAGGCCUUCGGGUCGUAAAGCCCUUUUUGAGGGGAUGAGGAAGGACAGUACCCUCAGAAUAAGCCUCGGCUAACUACGUGCCAGCAGCCGCGGUAAAACGUAGGAGGCGAGCGUUAUCCGGAUUUACUGGGCGUAAAGCGCGUGCAGGCGGAUUGGAGAGUUGGAUGUGAAAGCUCCCGGCUUAACUGGGAGAGGUCGUUCAAUACUUCCAGUCUUGAGUGCAGUAGAGGGAAGUGGAAUUCCGGGUGUAGUGGUGAAAUGCGUAGAUAUCCGGAGGAACACCAGUAGCGAAAGCGGCUUCCUGGACUGUAACUGACGCUCAGACGCGAAAGCUAGGGUAGCAAACG